rnacentral:rRNA from 1 species
AUGAACGCUAGCGGCAGGCCUAACACAUGCAAGUCGAGGGGCAUCGGGAUUGAAGCUUGCUUCAAUUGCCGGCGACCGGCGCACGGGUGCGUAACGCGUAUGUAACCUACCUAUAACAGGGGCAUAACACUGAGAAAUUGGUACUAAUUCCCCAUAAUAUUCGGAGAGGCAUCUCUCCGGGUUGAAAACUCCGGUGGUUAUAGAUGGACAUGCGUUGUAUUAGCUAGUUGGUGAGGUAACGGCUCACCAAGGCAACGAUACAUAGGGGGACUGAGAGGUUAACCCCCCACACUGGUACUGAGACACGGACCAGACUCCUACGGGAGGCAGCAGUGAGGAAUAUUGGUCAAUGGACGCAAGUCUGAACCAGCCAUGCCGCGUGCAGGAAGACGGCUCUAUGAGUUGUAAACUGCUUUUGUACGAGGGUAAACUCACCUACGUGUAGGUGACUGAAAGUAUCGUACGAAUAAGGAUCGGCUAACUCCGUGCCAGCAGCCGCGGUAAUACGGAGGAUUCAAGCGUUAUCCGGAUUUAUUGGGUUUAAAGGGUGCGUAGGCGGUUUGAUAAGUUAGAGGUGAAAUCCCGGGGCUUAACUCCGGAACUGCCUCUAAUACUGUUAGACUAGAGAGUAGUUGCGGUAGGCGGAAUGUAUGGUGUAGCGGUGAAAUGCUUAGAGAUCAUACAGAACACCGAUUGCGAAGGCAGCUUACCAAACUAUAUCUGACGUUGAGGCACGAAAGCGUGGGGAGCAAACAGGAUUAGAUACCCCGGUAGUCCACGCAGUAAACGAUGAUAACUCGUUGUCGGCGAUACACAGUCGGUGACUAAGCGAAAGCGAUAAGUUAUCCACCUGGGGAGUACGUUCGCAAGAAUGAAACUCAAAGGAAUUGACGGGGGCCCGCACAAGCGGUGGAGCAUGUGGUUUAAUUCGAAGCAACGCGAAGAACCUUACCAGGUCUUGACAUCCGAUGCAUAGCACAGAGAUGUGUGAAGUCCUUCGGGACAUCGAGACAGGUGGUGCAUGGUUGUCGUCAGCUCGUGCCGUGAGGUGUCGGCUUAAGUGCCAUAACGAGCGCAACCCCUACCGUUAGUUGCCAUCAGGUCAAGCUGGGCACUCUGGCGGGACUGCCGGUGUAAGCCGAGAGGAAGGUGGGGAUGACGUCAAAUCAGCACGGCCCUUACGUCCGGGGCUACACACGUGUUACAAUGGUAGGUACAGAGGGUCGCUACCCCGCGAGGGGAUGCCAAUCUCGAAAGCCUAUCUCAGUUCGGAUUGGAGGCUGAAACCCGCCUCCAUGAAGUUGGAUUCGCUAGUAAUCGCGCAUCAGCCAUGGCGCGGUGAAUACGUUCCCGGGCCUUGUACACACCGCCCGUCAAGCCAUGAAAGCCGGGGGUACCUGAAGUGCGUAACCGCAAGGAGCGCCCUAGGGUAAAACUGGUGAUUGGGGCU